UGGGGAAUCUUGGACAAUGGGGGCAACCCUGAUCCAGCCAUGCCGCGUGAGUGAUGAAGGCCUUAGGGUCGUAAAGCUCUUUCGCCUGUGAAGAUAAUGACGGUAGCAGGUAAAGAAACCCCGGCUAACUCCGUGCCAGCAGCCGCGGUAAUACGGAGGGGGUUAGCGUUGUUCGGAAUUACUGGGCGUAAAGCGCACGUAGGCGGACCAGAAAGUUGGGGGUGAAAUCCCGGGGGCUCAACCCCGGAACUGCCUCCAAAACUAUUGGUCUAGAGUUCGAGAGAGGUGAGUGGAAUUCCAAGUGUAGAGGUGAAAUUCGUAGAUAUUUGGAGGAACACCAGUGGCGAAGGCGGCUCACUGGCUCGAUACUGACGCUGAGGUGCGAAAGUGUGGGGAGCAAACAGGAUUAGAUACCCUGGUAGUCCACACCGUAAAACGAUGAAUGCCAGUCGUCGGGUAGCAUGCUAUUCGGUGACACACCUAACGGUAUAAGUCAUCCGCUGGGGAGUACGGUCGCAAGAUUAAAA
rnacentral:rRNA from 1 species